rnacentral:rRNA from 1 species
CCAUGGGCAUGUCCGUGAAUGUAAAGUCCACUGGGAAUGUGGCAGCGCUUCCUGCGUUCUUUGGGUCAGAGGAGGGUGAAAACCCCGUUUACAUUCAUUGUGGGGCGUGUCUGUUGUGUGGGCGUGUUGAAGAGUCGGAUUGUUUGGGAAUGCAAUCCAAAACGGGUGGUUCAAUCCAUCCACUACUUAAUAUUNGAGCGAUCACCG